rnacentral:snRNA from 1 species
AUACACCCUAUUGACCAAGAGCAAGUGUAGUAAUGUUCCUCUCAGUUUAAUAUCUGAUACACUCUCUCUCCAAAAUAUAUUAAAUGGAAUCUUGGAACAGGGAGAUGGAACAGGAAUUUGCUCUGUCCACUCCACACAUCUACCCAUUAUUAUAGUACUUUCAGGAAUGAUAGAUCUCCC